ensembl:misc_RNA 7SK 7SK RNA
GAAUGUGAGGGUGAUCUGGUUGUGACAUCUGUUACUCUAUUGAUCACUAGGCUUGAUUUGGUUGAUCUGGCUAGCUAGGCAGUGUCCUUUUCUUCCCUCACUGCUCUAAGUGCAUCCCUCACAAAGCUGUGUGCCCUGUCGAAGAGGACGACCUUCCCCAGUAGUGGAGGACCAUUCUUCUGUCAAGGGUAUACAAGUAGCUAUGCUCCCCUGCUAGAACUUCCAAAUAAUCUCUCAAGGUCCAUUUGUAGGAGAAUGUAGAGUAGUCAAGUUUCCAAGACUCCAGACACAUCCAAAUGAGGUGCUGCAUGUGGCAGUCUGCCUUUCAUU